GAUGAACGCUGGCGGCGUGCUUAACACAUGCAAGUCGAACGGGAUCCCAGGAGCUUGCUCCUGGGUGAGAGUGGCGAACGGGUGAGUAAUGCGUGACCGACCUGCCCCAUACACCGGAAUAGCUCCUGGAAACGGGUGGUAAUGCCGGAUGCUCCAGUUGGAUGCAUGUCCUUCUGGGAAAGAUUCAUCGGUAUGGGAUGGGGUCGCGUCCUAUCAGCUUGAUGGCGGGGUAACGGCCCACCAUGGCUUCGACGGGUAGCCGGCCUGAGAGGGCGACCGGCCACAUUGGGACUGAGAUACGGCCCAGACUCCUACGGGAGGCAGCAGUGGGGAAUAUUGCACAAUGGGCGCAAGCCUGAUGCAGCGACGCCGCGUGCGGGAUGACGGCCUUCGGGUUGUAAACCGCUUUUGACUGGGAGCAAGCCCUUCGGGGUGAGUGUACCUUUCGAAUAAGCACCGGCUAACU
rnacentral:rRNA from 1 species